rnacentral:rRNA from 1 species
AGUGAACGCUGGCGGUAGGCCUAACACAUGCAAGUCGAACGGCAGCACAGUAAGAGCUUGCUCUUACGGGUGGCGAGUGGCGGACGGGUGAGGAAUACAUCGGAAUCUACUUUUUCGUGGGGGAUAACGUAGGGAAACUUACGCUAAUACCGCAUACGACCUACGGGUGAAAGCAGGGGAUCUUCGGACCUUGCGCGAUUGAAUGAGCCGAUGUCGGAUUAGCUAGUUGGCGGGGUAAAGGCCCACCAAGGCGACGAUCCGUAGCUGGUCUGAGAGGAUGAUCAGCCACACUGGAACUGAGACACGGUCCAGACUCCUACGGGAGGCAGCAGUGGGGAAUAUUGGACAAUGGGCGCAAGCCUGAUCCAGCCAUACCGCGUGGGUGAAGAAGGCCUUCGGGUUGUAACGCCCUUUUGUUGGGAAAGAAAAGCAGCAGGUUAAUACCCCGCUGUUCUGACAGUACCCAAAGAAUAAGCACCGGCUAACUUCGUG